rnacentral:lncRNA from 1 species
AUGGGUCCCCAUGAAGGGCUGUGGGGCGCCGAUGGGACACUCCGUCCCCGUGCCGUCUCCAUGGCUCCGCCGUGGCAUGCGUCUGCAGCGGGGAAGUGCAGCUAUGUCUUUAAGAAGGGCCUGGGCUGGGGUGGGAGAAGCAUUUCCACGCAGCCUUUCUCCCGGCAAACCUGGAGCGAGUUAGCAGCCAAGUUCGCCCCGCCGCCGUCAGCCAGCUCGCCCCACUGGGAGCCACGGUGCCAUGAGGACACGGGGCAUGGGGCAGCCCUCGGCCCCCACAGUCCCCAGCCCCGUGGGGAGAGGAAGAGGAGGAGGCCGAGCUGGGUAUGUAGUUCUACCCUCGACUUGCAGUCCCACUUUGGGGCGGGUCCGGCAGCUCUGCGGGGUGAGGACAGGGAGCGCGGUGUGUCCCCAGCACUGGGUGCUUCCUCCUCCUCCUCCCCCUCCUUGCAGCUCUGCCUGGGAGACUCCAUCGGGAGGGGAGGUGCCCCCAUACCCCCACCUCACUGCCACAUUCCUGGCUCCAGGGUGGGGGCUCCGGGUGGGAUCAGGCAGCGGUGCUGUGACACAGGGGACAGCGUGCCGGUGCCAUGCCCUGCACCCCAGCAGGGUCACUGCCACCGCGUCCCCCUCCACGGGCUCAUGCGUUGCAGGGAGGACAUGGCAGCACGUGGCUCUCAGCUGGGUGGUUUUUGGUUGCACUCACUUCUCACAAGCUGGAAGCAGCUCUGGUGGCAGAGGACGUGGGCACAGGUUUUGGGGUGCCUGCAGAUGGGGUACCCGCGUCCCUGGGUGGGCUGCACCUCUUUGCGUGGGCAGCAGAGAGCUCGCAGCUGGUCCUGUGCUCAUGGCACUGCGAGGGGGGGGGCACCCGGGUUGUGGAGUGGGGAAACUGGCGCUGCUGAGCGGGAGGAAUCCCAGGAAUGCAGAACCCAGAGGGGACACGAGGUGGCACGACAGCCUCAGCUCGCGUUUUGGGAUCCGAGACCAGAGCGGUGCCAGGGGCCGCUUCGGGGUCACCUUCAGUGGGGCAAACAGCGGGGUGCGGGCACGGGGCUCCCGACCCCCCCAGUGCUCCCAGCUCCCCACAGCCACCCACAUCGCUUUGGGCUGCAUGGGGCUGCAUGGGGCUGCAUGGGGCCCCGGUCCCGCUCCCGCUCCCCCCGUCCUUGGCUCGGGCCCUGA